rnacentral:ncRNA from 1 species
AUAAAGGUGUUAUUAACUUAAUAGAGGAAGUUGGGUGAGAAUCCCACACAGCGAAAGCUACUGUAUGGUGGACGAAAUCACAAUAUGUCACUGGGAGACUGGGAAGGCGUGAGAGUAGGGAGAAACUAAGUCAGGAGACUUACCGUUUUAUUG